AGAGUUUGAUUCUGGCUCAGGACGAACGUUGGCGGUGUGUCUAAGGCAUGCAAGUCGAACGAGAUUGUUUUCUUCGGAAAACAUUAUAUCUAGUGGCAGACGGCUGAGUAACGCGUAAGUAACUUACCCUAGAGUGGGGAAUAACACAGAGAAAUCUGUGCUAAUACCGCAUACGAUUUAUAGAUAAUUUUUAUAAAUGAAAGAUUUAUCGCUCUUGGAUGGGCUUGCGUCCUAUCAGGUUGUUGGCGGGGUAAUAGCCCACCAAGCCUAAGACGGGUAGCUGGUGUGAGAGCACGACCAGCCAGAGGGGGACUGAGACACGGCCCCCACUCCUACGGGAGGCAGCAGCUAAGAAUAUUGCACAAUGGACGAAAGUCUGAUGCAGCGACACCGCGUGAGGGAUGACAGCUUUAGGGUUGUAAACCUCUUUUAUUAGGGAAUAGCAAGGAAGGUACCUAAUGAAUAAGCUACGGCUAACUACGUGCCAGCAGCCGCGGUAAUACGUAGGUAGCGAACGUUGUCCGGAAUCACUGGGCGUAAAGGGUCCGUAGGCGGUUUAAUAAGUCUCAUAUGAAAGCUCCAAGCUCAACUUGGAGAUGUUGUGAGAUACUGUUAGACUUGAGGCUGUUAGAGGCAAGUGGAAUUCCAGGUGUAGUGGUGAAAUGCGUAGAUAUCUGGAGGAACACCAGUGGCGAAAGCGACUUGCUGGGACAGUUCUGACGCUAAGGGACGAAAGCGUGGGGAGCAAACCGGAUUAGAUACCCGGGUAGUCCACGCUGUAAACGAUGAUUGCUAGGUUUUCGAGGCAUCGACCCCUCGUGAGCCGAAGUUAACGCGUUAAGCAAUCCGCCUGAGUAGUACGGCCGCAAGGCUAAAACUCAAAGAAAUUGACGGGGGACCGCACAAGCAGCGGAGCGUGUGGUUUAAUUCGAUGGUAAGCGAAGAACCUUACCUGGGUUUGACAUGUAAGUAGUACUGAACCGAAAGGGGAAGGACCCGCAAGGGAGCUUACACAGGUGUUGCAUGGUUGUCGUCAGCUCGUGCCGUGAGGUGUUGGGUUAAGUCCC
rnacentral:rRNA from 1 species